UACGGAGGGGGGCUAGCGUUGUUCGGAAUUACUGGGCGUAAAGCGCACGUAGGCGGCUUUGCAAGUUAGAGGUGAAAAGCCCGGGGCUCAACUCCGGAAUUGCCUUUAAAACUGCAUCGCUAGAAUUGUGGAGAGGUAAGUGGAAUUCCGAGUGUAGAGGUGAAAUUCGUAGAUAUUCGGAAGAACACCAGUGGCGAAGGCGACUUACUGGACACAUAUUGACGCUGAGGUGCGAAAGCGUGGGGAGCAAACAGG
rnacentral:rRNA from 1 species